rnacentral:rRNA from 1 species
CGGGUGAGUAACACGUGGAUAACCUACCUAUAAGACUGGGAUAACUUCGGGAAACCGAAGCUAAUACCGGAUAAUAUUUUGAACCGCAUGGUUCAAAAGUGAAAGACGGUCUUGCUGUCACUUAUAGAUGGAUCCGCGCUGCAUUAGCUAGUUGGUAAGGUAACGGCUUACCAAGGCAACGAUGCAUAGCCGACCUGAGAGGGUGAUCGGCCACACUGGAACUGAGACACGGUCCAG